rnacentral:lncRNA from 1 species
AUUACGUCCAAAAACGACAACCCAGUUAACAAGCCCAAACCUAACCGCCAUAUUCAGACUCCUCAUUCCGUAAAAAUUGUCGACGUCCUUCUCCAGUAAGGUGACAGAUUCCGAAUUUUAAUAUUCAUUUCCGAUCUACUUUCCGUCGAUUUCUUCUACUUCUUUCCUUUGUGUGCGUUCAUCUUCAUUAUCUUCUUUUCAUUUCAGCCCCAGAGUUGGACAAUUAAGAUUUGGGAGAUUGUAAGUAUAGUCAGAUUCUGAGGGCAGAAGGGAAGAAUUUGAAGAUGGGUGCAUUGAAGGGAGAGCUGCUGGUUACGAAGCUAGCAAAAGUGGCGCAAUACGGCAUUCUUGGAGCCAUGAUUGCCGUCGUCUUUUACUCAACUUCCGAUUACGCUUUACCCAAAAAAAAAAAAAACAUCCGAUUCUAAACCCCCAAUUCUUCUUCCUGUUAGAUUCAAUGGCUCUUGGCUGGUAAAACAUGCAGCUUUCUAUUUCCUUGCUAUAUGUUAGUUUAAUAUGGCAUGUAAUAAAUAAUUAUUGCUCCUUUUGUUGCUCUGUACCAGCAUGUAAAUGUUAGAGUGAUGGCUGGCAAAGGAGCAUAGAUCAACGGUCUAUAACAUUUUUAGAUUCUGUAGAUUAUUCUUAUCCAGUUUAAUUAGCUCAAAAUCUGUGAUAAGAUUGUAAUCUUUAGUUAUUGUUGUUUAUCUCUUGUUAUACUCCUUUAUUCACUCAAUUCAGUUACUUGUAAAAUCCUAUAAAUAGAUAUCAAUACCAAGUAAUGGAAGCAAG